rnacentral:tRNA from 1 species
AGGGCCAUCGUAUAAUGGUAGUACUAGGGUCUCCAAAACCCUCUGUGCGGGUUCGAUUCCUGCUGGCCCUGCCA